rnacentral:lncRNA from 1 species
ACAGUUCCUCAGUCUUUCUUUGUGUUUUAUGACCUUGACGAUUUUCAUGAGUACUGGCCAGGUAUUCUGGAUGCCCUUGCACCAAUGAGCCCAGCUGAUUCCCAGACUUUGGUUUCUAAAUACCACUCUCCAAUAUAAGAAAACUAUGGCUCCUUGGAGAAACAGCUGAAUCCAGGGCUGAAGGAGAAAAAAUAAGAUGAGCCUGAAAUAUUUUGUGCUAGAAAAUACCAAAGAGUUAAAAAGAAAGAAAGAAAGAAUAGGCACAUUUCAAAAAGACAAAGUAGCCAACUUGAUUGGUGAUCCUAAAGGUCAAAUACAGAAACACUGAAUAACAAAAUAAAUCUUGAUCAUAAGGGAUUAUAACCUGUGGAAUAACGUAAGGGUUCAUGUGUCUGUACUAACACAAAUAAGUGAGUGAACAAAUGAAUGAAUGAAUAAGUAAAGGAGAAAAGAAAACUUUUCCUUACUAUAAAACUACAACUUGUUUCUAAGUUAAGGAAUUAUUGAACCAGAAAAUUACCAUUUGGCAAACACCACAGUAAUAGUUGUUUCAGGCAAGAAUCAUUAACGGAUACUAAAAUUAGUGGCAAAGGUGUGAUAAAUUACAGGAUAUUUAAAUUCUCUCAAAUUAUUUUCCCAUGAGAUACUUAUAGAGUACAAAGAAAUAUAGUGCCUUUGUAGUGAAGAAAUCUGGCAAACACCACCCUCCCCAAGUGAUCAAAGUUAACAUUUUCAGUAAUGGAAUAAAUUGACAUCAAGAGUCUUCGGAUAAGACAUGUUGAUAAGGUCACAACCUCACUUUCUGGUAUCCUUGCCAAAAAUGCAAAACUGAAUUUAAAUAUGAGAAAACAUCAGAGGAAGUGCAUUGACUGUCAGAGCCUCAUCGACCUAGUAUAAGAGACACACCAACGUACGUACACUCAUAUGUGUUAGAGGCACUUUCAGUUUGGCAUUCAUUCAGUUCACAAAGAGAUCCAUUUAAAGACUUUACAACGUACGUACACUCAUAUGUGUUAGAGGCACUUUCAGUUUGGCCUUCAUUCAGUUCACAAAGAGAUCCAUUUAAAGACUUUACAGAAGAAAAAUGACAGGAUGAAAACUGUGCCUCGAGGAGAUUAAACUGGAAGCAGAAGGUAUCAACCCAGGCCAUGGAGCUGAAUGGAGAAGAAAUGCCUUCCAUCCCUUCCAACCAUUUGGCUUCUCCAGUCCCUCACCUCAAGCAAACCUCAUCAAGGUUUUCCGAUUUCCAGACCCAGGUCCUGAGCAACUAUGUAAAUGCAAACAAACACUGGUGAUGACUGUAAGGCCAUCAAACUCCAAACAGUCAUGCAACCAGAGCCUCUGAAGAUGGCCCCUUCUGCCGGGAACCCUUAGAUCAGCCUCUGAGGGAGUUCUGCCAUUUCCCCAAAACAGCGCCCCCUGUCAGCAGGAAGCGGUUAAGAUCAGUCUUCAUCCUUAUCCUUAAUCUAACCACAGUUAGAUGUACUUCUUUAGAGGGGGGAAUGAGACAGCCAGUGGGAGGGGAUUCCUGGAGAAACUCCAAGCAGCCUGCGCACUGGGGUGGAGCCUUGGGAAGUUCACACGAUUUGAAGCAGGGAGGAGCCUGCCUCGUCGUCUUCCUGUGUGGACCUGGGAUUCAAACGCCAGGCAGGUGUUUCCCCCACCCGUUUUUCUCCCUUUUCACCCAAUAAAACCCUAUUUUGCUCACCCUUUAAACUGUCUGUGAGGCUAAAUUUUUGUGGCCUUGGGAUGGACAAGAACCCAGUCUUUAGCUGAACUAAGAAAAGUCCUACAAUACCAGGGAGGUUUACAUUUAUCAAUAAGAACAUAAAAACAUAUGGGCAGUAAUAAAAUAAAUUUCAACAUGCCAACUAUAACCACCGAUUGUUUGUAUUCUGCAGGAGAAGAGCACAAGAAGAAAUGAGCUUAAUUACAGCAUAAACAAUUUUAGUCAUAUAUUAAAUAGGUUCCUGAUACUAAGCUCUUAAAAUGGAUAUAAACAAGAUGUGGUAGAAUUUGAAAAAUAGGUUACAAUCACAGUAGUAGGUAAUGUUUGAGAGUUUCUCCACCUGCAAUAUUGUAUCUUUUAUAAUAGUUAAACACUGUGGACUUCUAAAUUUAGCAAUUUUUUCAGAGUUUAAAUAAACCCUUUUUAAAAAUACAACGGGAUCUUUCUUUCAUGCUUUGUUAGAUCUUAAGGAUGACUAUUUAAAACAGAAAUCUUUCAACCUCAUUCAGAUAUAGUGCACUACAGCUACUAACUAGGAAACAAUGAGAAAAGACUUUUCUUCACUUUAAGUUACAGAUACUGCAAGUCUUUCCUUCAAAACAGGAGACAGUCCAUCUGAAGCUAGUAGUAGAUGCAUAUGGAGCUCAGGAGACGUUACCUUAAGUUGAAGUCUUCCACAUGAUCUGAUGGGGACUGAGGUGAACAGGACCCUAAAGCAUAAUUGGUCAGAAGAGUGGGAGAGGUUGGCCGGGCACGGUGGCUCACGCCUGUAAUCCCAGCACGUUGGGAGGCCAAGGCAGGCAGAUCAUGAGGUCAGGAGAUGGAGACCAUCCUUGCU